rnacentral:rRNA from 1 species
GAUGAACGCUGGCGGCGUGCCUAAUACAUGCAAGUCGAGCGAACAGACGAGGAGCUUGCUCCUCUGACGUUAGCGGCGGACGGGUGAGUAACACGUGGAUAACCUACCUAUAAGACUGGGAUAACUUCGGGAAACCGGAGCUAAUACCGGAUAAUAUAUUGAACUGCAUGGUUCAAUAGUGAAAGACGGCUUUGCUGUUACUUAUAGAUGGAUCCGCGCCGCAUUAGCUAGUUGGUAAGGUAACGGCUUACCAAGGCUACGAUGCGUAGCUGACCUGAGAGGAUGAUCAGCCACACUGGAACUGAGACACGGUCCAGACUCCUACGGGAGGCAGCAGUAGGGAAUAUUCCGCAAUGGGCGAAAGCUUGACGGAGCAACACCGCGUGAGUGAUGAAGGUCUUCGGAUCGUAAAGCUCUGUUAUUAGGAAAGAACAAAUGUGUAAGUAACUAUGCACGUCUUGACGGUACCUAAUCAGAAAGCCACGGCUAACUACGUG